GCUUGCUUCUUGGGGUUGUAGGACACUCUAUACGGAGUUACAAAAGAAAGUUAUAAAUGAAGCGGUCUGGAAAGGCCCGCCAAAGACGGUAACAGCCCGGUAGUUGAAAUGGCUUUCCCUCCAGAGUGGAUCCUGAGUACGGCGGAACACGUGAAAUUCCGUCGGAAUCCGGGAGGACCAUCUCCCAAGGCUAAAUACUCCCUAGUGACCGAUAGUGAACCAGUACCGUGAGGGAAAGGUGAAAAGCACCCCGGAAGGGGAGUGAAACAGUUCCUGAAACCGUGUGCCUACAAGUAGUUAGAGCCCGUUAAUGGGUGAUAGCGUGCCUUUUGUAGAAUGAACCGGCGAGUUACGAUUUGUUGCAAGGUUAAGCGGAAAAAGCGGAGCCGUAGCGAAAGCGAGUCUGAAUAGGGCGCAUAAGUAACAGGUCGUAGACCCGAAACCAGGUGAUCUACCCAUGUCCAGGAUGAAGGUAAGGUAAUACUUACUGGAGGUCCGAACCCACGCACGUUGAAAAGUGCGGGGAUGAGGUGUGGGUAGCGGAGAAAUUCCAAUCGAACUUGGAGAUAGCUGGUUCUCUCCGAAAUAGCUUUAGGGCUAGCCUCGAGGUAAAGAGUCAUGGAGGUAGAGCACUGUUUGGACUAGGGGCCCUUCUCGGGUUACCGAAUUCAGAUAAACUCCGAAUGCCAUGUACUUAUACUCGGGAGUCAGACUGCGAGUGAUAAGAUCCGUAGUCGAAAGGGAAACAGCCCAGACCACCAGUUAAGGUCCCCAAAUAUAUGUUAAGUGGAAAAGGAUGUGGGGUUGCUUAGACAACCAGGAUGUUGGCUUAGAAGCAGCCACCAUUGAAAGAGUGCGUAAUAGCUCACUGGUCGAGUGACCCCGCGCCGAAAAUGUACCGGGGCUAAACAUAUUACCGAAACUGUGGAUGAACCUCUUUAGAGGUUCGUGGUAGGAGAGCGUUCUAAGGGCGGUGAAGUCAGACCGGAAGGACUGGUGGAGCGCUUAGAAGUGAGAAUGCCGGUAUGAGUAGCGAAAGAAGGGUGAGAAUCCCUUCCACCGAAUAUCUAAGGUUUCCUGAGGAAGGCUCGUCCGCUCAGGGUUAGUCGGGACCUAAGCCGAGGCCGAUAGGCGUAGGCGAUGGACAACAGGUAGAGAUUCCUGUACCAGUGCUAAUUGUUUAACCGAUGGGGUGACACAGAAGGAUAGGGAAUCGCACGAAUGGAAAUGUGCGUCCAAGCAGUGAGUGUGAGAAGUAGGCAAAUCCGCUUCUCGCGAAGCAUGAGCUGUGAUGGGGAAGGAAAUUAAGUACGGAAGUUCCUGAUUUCACGCUGUCAAGAAAAGCCUCUAGGAAGAGUAGUACUGCCCGUACCGCAAACCGACACAGGUAGAUGAGGAGAGAAUCCUAAGGUGAGCGAGAGAACUCUCGUUAAGGAACUCGGCAAAAUGACCCCGUAACUUCGGGAGAAGGGGUGCUCUAUUAGGGUGCAAGCCCGAGAGAGCCGCAGUGAAUAGGCCCAGGCGACUGUUUAGCAAAAACACAGGUCUCUGCAAAACCGUAAGGUGACGUAUAGGGGCUGACGCCUGCCCGGUGCUGGAAGGUUAAGAGGAGUGCUUAGCUUCGGCGAAGGUACGAAUUGAAGCCCCAGUAAACGGCGGCCGUAACUAUAACGGUCCUAAGGUAGCGAAAUUCCUUGUCGGGUAAGUUCCGACCCGCACGAAAGGCGCAACGAUCUGGGCACUGUCUCAACGAGAGACUCGGUGAAAUUAUAGUACCUGUGAAGAUGCAGGUUACCCGCGACAGGACGGAAAGACCCCGUGGAGCUUUACUGCAACCUGAUAUGGAAUGUUUGUACCGCUUGUACAGGAUAGGUAGGAGCCGAAGAGACGUGUGCGCUAGCAUACGAGGAGGCAAUGGUGGGAUACUACCCUGGCUGUAUGACCAUUCUAACCCGCCACGCUUAGCGCGUGGGGAGACAGUGUCAGGUGGGCAGUUUGACUGGGGCGGUCGCCUCCUAAAGAGUAACG
rnacentral:rRNA from 1 species